rnacentral:pre_miRNA from 1 species
AAUAAACGAAUUUCUAUGUUUUUAUACAAGUUUUAACUCUUCAUCUUAUUUAAAAAAAUUUUAUGAUUAAUAUUUUUAUUGUUACUACGUGAUAAAGCAUGAAUAUUACUUUACGUACGACUAAUUUUUUCUUCAAUUUUUUAAUAAAUUUUUCAAAUAAAACGGAUGGUCAAACUCUCGAACUACAAACCCCAGGGAUGCUUUUUUU